AUUGAACGCUGGCGGCAGGCCUAACACAUGCAAGUCGAGCGAGCGGCGGACGGGUGAGUCCUGUCUGGGAAACUGCCUGAUGGAGGGGGAUAACUACUGGAAACGGUAGUUAAUACCGCAUACCAUCAGAUGUGCCUAGAUGGGAUUAGCUAGUAGGUGGGGUAACGGCUCACCUAGGCGACGAUCCCUAGCUGGUCUGGGAGGAUGACCAGCCACACUGGAACUGAGACACGGUCCAGACUCCUACGGGAGGCAGCAGUGGGGAAUAUUGCACAAUGGGCGCAAGCCUGAUACAGCCAUGCCGCGUGUGUGAAGAAGGCCUUCGGGUUGUAAAGCACUUUCAGCGGGGAGGCGUUACCCGCAGAAGAAGCACCGGCUAACUCCGUGCCAGCAGCCGCGGUAAUUC
rnacentral:rRNA from 1 species